UACGGGAGGCAGCAGUGAGGGAUAUUGGGCAAUGGGCGCAAGCCUGACCCAGCGACGCCGCGUGGAGGACGAAGGGCUUCGGCUCGUAAACUCCUUUUCCCGUGGACGAGAGAAGGACGGUACACGGGGAAUAAGUCUCGGCUAACUACGUGCCAGCAGUCGCGGUAAAACGUAGGAGGCGAGCGUUAUCCGGAAUCACUGGGCGUAAAGGGCGUCUAGGCGGCACGACAAGUGAGGUGUGAAAGCUCCUGGCUCAACUAGGAGAGUGCGCUUCAGACUGUCGAGCUUGGAGGGCAGGUGAAGGGGGUGGAAUUCCCGGUGGAGUGGUGGAACUGCGUAGAGAUCGGGAGGAACACCAGUGGCGAAAGCGGCCCCCUGGCCUGUUGCUGACGCUGAAGCGCGAAAGCGUGGGGAGCAAACGGGAUUAGAUACCCCGGUAGUCCACGCCGUAAACGAUGGUGACUAGGUGUGGCUGGCUCAAGGGCUGGUCGUGCCGAAGCUACACGCGCAUAAGUCACCCGCCUGGGGAGUACGGCCGCAAGGCUAACACUCAAAGGAAUUGACGGCAUCCCGCGGCCAUG
rnacentral:rRNA from 1 species